CUUUUACAAAAUCAGCAAUCGCAUCCACACAGUCUUCAGCCAAAUUAUAAUCUUUUUUAAUGCCCAUCAAUUUUGUAGCAGAUGAUAAAGCUGAAUGACCAUCUCUGCAACCUUCGUACAAUGGUUGCUUUCCAGCAUCCAACAUAUCAUAAAAUCUCCUAGCUUGUGCAUUGAGUAAAUCUUCCCCUCUAAAAUGAUCAUU
rnacentral:lncRNA from 1 species